GCAACUUGUACUGUGAAACUGCGAAUGGCUCAUUAAAUCAGUUAUCGUUUAUUUGAUUGUAACUUUACUACUUGGAUAACCGUGGUAAUUCUAGAGCUAAUACAUGCUGAAAAUCCCGACUUCAGGAAGGGAUGUAUUUAUUAGAUAAAAAACCAAUGCCUUUCGGGGCUCUUUGGUGAUUCAUGAUAACUUCGCGAAUCGCGUGGCCUUGCGCCGGCGAUGUUUCAUUCAAAUUUCUGCCCUAUCAACUUACGACGGUAGGAUAGUGGCCUACCGUGGUGUCAACGGGUAACGGGGAAUUAGGGUUCUAUUCCGGAGAGGGAGCCUGAGAAACGGCUACCACAUCCAAGGAAGGCAGCAGGCGCGCAAAUUACCCAAUCCCAACUCGGGGAGGUAGUGACAAUAAAUACUGAUGCAGGGCCUUUAGGGGUCUUGUAAUUGGAAUGAGUACAAUUUAAAUCCAUUAACGAGGAACAAUUGGAGGGCAAGUCUGGUGCCAGCAGCCGCGGUAAUUCCAGCUCCAAUAGCGUAUAUUAAAGUUGUUGCAGUUAAAAAGCUCGUAGUUGAACCUUGGGCCUGGGCGAUCGGUCCGCCUCACCGCGUGUACUGGGAGCCUGGGCCUUUCCUUCUGGCGAACCUCAUGCCCUUUAUUGGGUGUGUUGGCAAACCAGGACUUUUACUUUGAAAAAAUUAGAGUGUUCAAAGCAGGCAUUUGCUCGAAUACAUUAGCAUGGAAUAAUAGAAUAGGACGUGCGGUUCUAUUUUGUUGGUUUCUAGGACUGCCGUAAUGAUUAAUAGGGAUAGUCGGGGGCAUCCGUAUUCAAUUGUCAGAGGUGAAAUUCUUGGAUUUAUUGAAGACGAACUACUGCGAAAGCAUUUGCCAAGGAUGUUUUCAUUAAUCAGGAACGAAAGUUGAGGGAUCGAAGACGAUCAGAUACCGUCGUAGUCUCAACCAUAAACUAUGCCGACUAGGGGUCGGGCGAUGUUUUCUUAUGACUCGCUCGGAACCUUACGAGAAAUCAAAGUCUUUGGGUUCCUGGGGGA
rnacentral:rRNA from 1 species